UACGUAGGGGGCUAGCGUUGUCCGGAUUUAUUGGGCGUAAAGAGCGUGUAGGCGGCCAGGUAGGUCUGCUGUGAAAACUCGAGGCUUAACCUCGAGCUGUCGGCGGAAACCAUCUGGCUAGAGUCCGGAAGAGGAGAAUGGAAUUCCUGGUGUAGCGGUGAAAUGCGCAGAUAUCAGGAAGAACACCCGUGGCUAAGGCGGUUCUCUAGUACGGUACUGACGCUGAGACGCGAAAGCGUGGGGAGCGAACAGG
rnacentral:rRNA from 1 species